rnacentral:rRNA from 1 species
GAUGAACGCUAGCGGCAGGCUUAACACAUGCAAGUCGAGGGGCAGCAUAAAACAUUGCUUGCAAUGUUUGGUGGCGACCGGCGCACGGGUGCGUAACGCGUAUGCAACCUACCUAUAACAGGGGGAUAACACUGAGAAAUUGGUACUAAUACCCCGUAAUAUUAUUGAAGGCAUCUCUGAUAGUUGAAAGCUCCGGCGGUUAUAGAUGGGCAUGCGUUGUAUUAGCUAGUUGGUGAGGUAACGGCUCACCAAGGCGACGAUACAUAGGGGGACUGAGAGGUUAACCCCCCACAUUGGUACUGAGACACGGACCAA